UUCCUUCGGGAAGUGGAUUAGCGGCGGACGGGUGAGUAACACGUGGGUAACCUGCCUCAAAGUGGGGGAUAGCCUUCCGAAAGGAAGAUUAAUACCGCAUAACAUAAGAGAAUCGCAUGAUUUUCUUAUCAAAGAUUUAUUGCUUUGAGAUGGACCCGCGGCGCAUUAGCUAGUUGGUAAGGUAACGGCUUACCAAGGCAACGAUGCGUAGCCGACCUGAGAGGGUGAUCGGCCACAUUGGAACUGAGACACGGUCCAGACUCCUACGGGAGGCAGCAGUGGGGAAUAUUGCGCAAUGGGGGAAACCCUGACGCAGCAACGCCGCGUGGGUGAUGAAGGUCUUCGGAUUGUAAAGCCCUGUUUUCUGGGACGAUAAUGACGGUACCAGAGGAGGAAGCCACGGCUAACUACGUGCCAGCAGCCGCGGUAAUACGUAGGUGGCGAGCGUUGUCCGGAUUUACUGGGCGUAAAGGGUGCGUAGGCGGAUGUUUAAGUGGGAUGUGAAAUCCCCGGGCUUAACCUGGGGGCUGCAUUCCAAACUGGAUAUCUAGAGUGCAGGAGAGGAAAGCGGAAUUCCUAGUGUAGCGGUGAAAUGCGUAGAGAUUAGGAAGAACACCAGUGGCGAAGGCGGCUUUCUGGACUGUAACUGACGCUGAGGCACGAAAGCGU
rnacentral:rRNA from 1 species